AUAUGUGUUCAUUUAACACACUGGUGUUAAAUUCAUUCUUGCUGCAAAAGAAGGCCAUUGUACUUCCUGACCCCAAAAGCAAGAUGAAGUAACUGAGACACCAAAGGUUAAUUGCUCGCCCAAAGCCACGCAGCAACUCUGUUGGAGUUACUUUAGUGUCUAAAAUUCCACAUUGUAUACUUUUAGCAAAAUCAAUAGUCACUCAUUCAAAUGAGGAGAUGGUAAUUAGAGAUGGGACAGACCCCCAACAUAUCCUCCGUUUGAAGAUAGAGUAAAUUCAGUGAGAUCAUCUACUUCUUUUCAUUUUCUUUCUCAGAAGAGUAUGUGUUUUUUCCCUACCCAAAUGUUUCAGUGAACAUUGCAGCUGUGCAGCAAGAGGCAGUUUUGCAUGCAUAUAGUC